rnacentral:rRNA from 1 species
ACCGAACGCUGGCGGCAGGCCUAACACAUGCAAGUCGAGCGGCCGUAGCAAUACGGCAGCGGCAGACGGGAGAGUAACACGUGGGAACGCGCCCUUCGGUUCGGGAUAACCCAGGGAAACUUGGGCUAAUACCGGAUACGCCCUUACGGGAAAAGAUUUAUUGCCGAAGGAACGGCCCGCGUCCGAUUAGCUAGUUGGUGAGGUAACGGCUCACCAAGGCGACGAUCGGUAGCUGGUCUGAGAGGAUGACCAGCCUCACUGGGACUGAGACACGGCCCAGACUCCUACGGGAGGCAGCAGUGGGGAAUAUUGGACAAUGGGCACAAGCCUGAUCCAGCCAUGCCGCGUGGGUGAUGAAGGCCCUAGGGUUGUAAAGCCCUUUCAGCGGGGAAGAUAAUGACGGUACCCGCAGAAGAAGCCCCGGCUAACUUCGUGCCAGCCGCCGCGGUAAUAC